rfam:Scleropages formosus scaffold900, whole genome shotgun sequence.
UUUUCUCUUAUUUGUAUGUCACUUUGGAUAAAAGUGUCUGCUAAAUGAAUAAAU